UUUAGGAUAGUCUAAUGGUAAUGACACCGGACAAGGUCUGUAUUCGAAAACAUAUGUGAAUUCACCUUCUACCGGAGAUGCCAGUUCGAAUCUGGCUCCUAGCA
rnacentral:tRNA from 1 species